GAUGAACGCUGGCGGCGUGCUUAACACAUGCCAGUCGAACGGAAAGGCCGAAGCUUGCUUCGGUACUCGAGUGGCGAACGGGUGAGUAACACGUGGGUGAUCUGCCCUGUACUUCGGGAUAAGCUUGGGAAACUGGGUCUAAUACCGGAUAUGACGAUCUCUUGGAUGGGGUUGUGGAAAGCUUUUGCGGUAUGGGAUGAGCUCGCGGCCUAUCAGCUUGUUGGCGGGGUAAUGGCCUACCAAGGCGUCGACGGGUAGCCGGCCUGAGAGGGUGUACGGCCACAUUGGGACGGAGGUACGGCCCAGACUCCUACGGGAGGCAGCAGGGGGGAAUAUUGCACAAUGGGCGCAAGCCUGAUGCAGCGACGCCGCGUGGGGGAUGACGGCCUUCGGGUUGUAAACUCCUUUCGCAAUCGACGAAGCCUUUUGGUGACGGUAGGUUGAGAAGAAGCAGCGGCUAGCUACGUG
rnacentral:rRNA from 1 species